AGAUUGAACGCUGGCGGCAGGCCUAACGCAUGCAAGUCGAGCGGUAGAGAGGUGCUUGCACCUCUUGAGAGCGGCGGACGGGUGAGUAAUGCCUAGGAAUCUGCCUAGUGGUGGGGGAUAACGUUCGGAAACGGACGCUAAUACCGCAUACGUCCUACGGGAGAAAGCGGGGGACCUUCGGGCCUCGCGCCAUUAGAUGAGCCUAGGUCGGAUUAGCUAGUUGGUGAGGUAAUGGCUCACCAAGGCGACGAUCCGUAACUGGUCUGAGAGGAUGAUCAGUCACACUGGAACUGAGACACGGUCCAGACUCCUACGGGAGGCAGCAGUGGGAAUAUUGGACAAUGGGCGAAAGCCUGAUCCAGCCAUGCCGCGUGUGUGAAGAAGGUCUUCGGAUUGUAAAGCACUUUAAGUUGGAGGAAGGUUGUAACUUAAUACGUUGACAACUUUGACGUUACCGACAGAAUAAGCACCGGACUAACUUCGUGUCCAGCAGCCG
rnacentral:rRNA from 1 species